GUAACACGUAAACAACCUGCCUUCAGGAUGGGGACAACAGACGGAAACGACUGCUAAUACCGAAUAAGUUCCAAGAGCCGCAUGGCCCAUGGAAGAAAAGGUGGCCUCUACCUGUAAGCUAUCGCCUGAAGAGGGGUUUGCGUCUGAUUAGCUGGUUGGAGGGGUAACGGCCCACCAAGGCGACGAUCAGUAGCCGGUCUNAGAGGAUGAACGGCCACACUGGAACUGAGACACGGUCCAGACUCCUACGGAGGCAGCAUG
rnacentral:rRNA from 1 species